GACGAACGCUGGCGGCGUGCUUAACACAUGCAAGUCGAACGGUGAAGCGCCUUCCUUUUUGGUGGGUGUGGAUGAGUGGCGAACGGGUGAGUAACACGUGAGUAACCUGCCCCCUUCUUCUGGAUAACCGCAUGAAAGUGUGGCUAAUACGGGAUAUUCUGGGUCUGUCGCAUGAUGGGUCUGGGAAAGAUAUUGUUUCGGUGGGGGAUGGGCUCGCGGCCUAUCAGCUUGUUGGUGGGGUGAUGGCCUACCAAGGCGGUGACGGGUAGCCGGCCUGAGAGGGUGGACGGUCACACUGGGACUGAGACACGGCCCAGACUCCUACGGGAGGCAGCAGUGGGGAAUAUUGCACAAUGGGCGCAAGCUUGAUGCAGCGACGCCGCGUGAGGGAUGGAGGCCUUCGGGUUGUGAACCUCUUUCGCCAGUGAAGCAGGCCUGCCUCGUUUGUGGGUGGGUUGACGGUAGCUGGAUAAGAAGCGCCGGCUAACUACGUG
rnacentral:rRNA from 1 species